AAUAUUGCGCAAUGGAGGGAACUCUGACGCAGCGACGCCGCGUGAGCGAUGAAGGACAUCGGUUCGUCCCGCUCUGUCCUGGGGGAAGAAGGUCUUCGGCCUUGACGGUACCUAAGGUGUAAACCCCUGCUAACUACGUGCCAGCAGCCGCGGUAAUACGUAGGGGGCAAGCGUUGUCCGGAAUUCUUGGGCGUAAAGGGUGCGUAGGCGGCCUUUUAAGUCAGAUGUGAAAGCCCACGGCUUAACCGUGGGACUGCAUUUGAAACUGGAGGGCUUGAGUAUCGGAGAGGGUAGUGGAAUUCCCAGUGUAGCGGUGGAAUGCGUAGAUAUUGGGAGGACCACCAGUGGCGAAGGCGACUACCUGGACGAAAACUGACGCUGAGGCACGAAAGCUAGGGGAGCAAAC
rnacentral:rRNA from 1 species